rnacentral:tRNA from 1 species
AUGGAAAUCUCUGUAAUUUUUUUUUAGUA